GAGUUUGAUCCUGGCUCAGGAUGAACGCUGGCGGCGUGCUUAACACAUGCAAGUCGAGCGAUGAAGUUUCCUUCGGGAAAUGGAUUAGCGGCGGACGGGUGAGUAACACGUGGGUAACCUGCCUCAUAGAGUGGAAUAGCCUUCCGAAAGGGAGAUUAAUACCGCAUAACGUUGAAAGAUGGCAUCAUCAUUCAACCAAAGGAGCAAUCCGCUAUGAGAUGGACCCGCGGCGCAUUAGCUAGUUGGUGGGGUAACGGCCUACCAAGGCGACGAUGCGUAGCCGACCUGAGAGGGUGAUCGGCCACAUUGGGACUGAGACACGGCCCAGACUCCUACGGGAGGCAGCAGUGGGGAAUAUUGCACAAUGGGGGAAACCCUGAUGCAGCAACGCCGCGUGAGUGAUGAAGGUUUUCGGAUCGUAAAGCUCUGUCUUUGGGGAAGAUAAUGACGGUACCCAAGGAGGAAGCCACGGCUAACUACGUGCCAGCAGCCGCGGUAAUACGUAGGUGGCGAGCGUUAUCCGGAUUUACUGGGCGUAAAGGGAGCGUAGGCGGAUGAUUAAGUGGGAUGUGAAAUACCCGGGCUCAACUUGGGUGCUGCAUUCCAAACUGGUUAUCUAGAGUGCAGGAGAGGAGAGUGGAAUUCCUAGUGUAGCGGUGAAAUGCGUAGA
rnacentral:rRNA from 1 species